rnacentral:rRNA from 1 species
CCCUUAGAUGUUCUGGGCCGCACGCGCGCUACACUGAUGCAUUCAACGAGCCUAUCCUUGACCGACAGGCCCGGGUAAUCUUUGAAUCUGCGUCGUGACGGGGAUAGAUUAUUGCAAUUAUUAAUCUUCAACGAGGAAUGCCUAGUAGGCGCAAGUCAUCAGCUUGCGUCGAUUACGUCCCUGCCCUUUGUACACACCGCCCGUCGCUCCUACCGAUUGGGUGUGCUGGUGAAAUGUUCGGAUCGGCCGUUUGUCGCGGUUUCCGCGUCAUGUGGCUGAGAAGUUCAUUAAACCCUCCCACCUAGAGGAAGGAGAAGUCGUAACA